GGUUUUUAGAGUAUCAUUAAAAAUCAGGCCUGCUCAAUGUAAUAUUAAUAGCCGCGGUAUUAUGACCGUGCAAAGGUAGCAUAAUAAUUUGUCUUUUAAUUUGGGACUAGUAUGAAAGGUUUAACUGAGUAGUUUUGUCUUAUGAUAACAUUUUGAAAUUUACAUUUUAGUAAAAAGGCUAAAAUUUACUUUAGGGACGAGAAGACCCUGUCAAACUUUACAAACCGUUUUAUUUUUCUUAAAGUAAUUAAAGUUUGUUUUGCUGGGGCAGCAGAAAAAUUAAUUUUAUUUUCAUAAUGUGAAAUUAUUUCUAAAAAAAUCAGAAAUUUUCUAACCAAAAAUAAGUUACUGCAGGGAUAACAGCGUAAUUCUUUUUACGAGUUCUUAUCAACUUAAGAGUUUGCGACCUCGAUGUUGUAUUAAAAUUCCUAAUUCACGCAAUAGUGAGAUAAGGAAGUCUGUUCGACUUUUAAUAUUUUCCA
rnacentral:rRNA from 1 species